GGGUUGUGAGGUUAAGCGACUAAGCGUACACGGUGGAUGCCCUGGCAGUCAGAGGCGAUGAAGGGCGUGCUAAUCUGCGAUAAGCGCCGGUAAGGUGAUAUGAACCGUUAUAACCGGCGAUACCCGAAUGGGGAAACCCAGUGUGAUUCGUCACACUAUCAUUAACUGAAUCCAUAGGUUAAUGAGGCGAACCGGGGGAACUGAAACAUCUAAGUACCCCGAGGAAAAGAAAUCAACCGAGAUUCCCCCAGUAGCGGCGAGCGAACGGGGAGGAGCCCAGAGCCUGAAUCAGCAUGUGUGUUAGUGGAAGCGUCUGGAAAGGCGCGCGAUACAGGGUGACAGCCCCGUACACAAAAGCGCAUGUGCUGUGAGCUCGAUGAGUAGGGCGGGACACGUGGUAUCCUGUCUGAAUAUGGGGGGACCAUCCUCCAAGGCUAAAUACUCCUGACUGACCGAUAGUGAACCAGUACCGUGAGGGAAAGGCGAAAAGAACCCCGGCGAGGGGAGUGAAAAAGAACCUGAAACCGUGUACGUACAAGCAGUGGGAGCACCCUUCGGGGUGUGACUGCGUACCUUUUGUAUAAUGGGUCAGCGACUUAUAUUCUGUAGCAAGGUUAACCGUAUAGGGGAGCCGGAGGGAAACCGAGUCUUAACCGGGCGUUAAGUUGCAGGGUAUAGACCCGAAACCCGGUGAUCUAGCCAUGGGCAGGUUGAAGGUUGGGUAACACUAACUGGAGGACCGAACCGACUAAUGUUGAAAAAUUAGCGGAUGACCUGUGGCUGGGGGUGAAAGGCCAAUCAAACCGGGAGAUAGCUGGUUCUCCCCGAAAGCUAUUUAGGUAGCGCCUCGUGAAUUCAUCUCCGGGGGUAGAGCACUGUUUCGGCUAGGGGGCCAUCCCGGCUUACCAACCCGAUGCAAACUGCGAAUACCGGAGAAUGUUAUCACGGGAGACACACGGCGGGUGCUAACGUCCGUCGUGAAGAGGGAAACAACCCAGACCGCCAGCUAAGGUCCCAAAGUCAUGGUUAAGUGGGAAACGAUGUGGGAAGGCCCAGACAGCCAGGAUGUUGGCUUAGAAGCAGCCAUCAUUUAAAGAAAGCGUAAUAGCUCACUGGUCGAGUCGGCCUGCGCGGAAGAUGUAACGGGGCUAAACCAUGCACCGAAGCUGCGGCAGCGAACGUAUCACCCAAGACAACUUUACGGAGUUGACGAUUGACGGAGCGAAGCGACGUCAAAGCGUUCAUUAAAGUCGAGUUGGCUUAGGGAUACGUUCGUUGGGUAGGGGAGCGUUCUGUAAGCCUGUGAAGGUGUGUCGUGAGGCAUGCUGGAGGUAUCAGAAGUGCGAAUGCUGACAUAAGUAACGAUAAAGCGGGUGAAAAGCCCGCUCGCCGGAAGACCAAGGGUUCCUGUCCAACGUUAAUCGGGGCAGGGUGAGUCGACCCCUAAGGCGAGGCCGAAAGGCGUAGUCGAUGGGAAACGGGUUAAUAUUCCCGUACUUGGUGUUACUGCGAAGGGGGGACGGAGAAGGCUAUGUUGGCCGGGCGACGGUUGUCCCGGUUUAAGCGUGUAGGUGUGUGUUCCAGGUAAAUCCGGUUCACUUUAACACUGAGGCGUGACGACGAGGCACUACGGUGCUGAAGCAACAAAUGCCCUGCUUCCAGGAAAAGCCUCUAAGCAUCAGGUAACAUCAAAUCGUACCCCAAACCGACACAGGUGGUCAGGUAGAGAAUACCAAGGCGCUUGAGAGAACUCGGGUGAAGGAACUAGGCAAAAUGGUGCCGUAACUUCGGGAGAAGGCACGCUGACACGUAGGUGAAGUGAUUUACUCAUGGAGCUGAAGUCAGUCGAAGAUACCAGCUGGCUGCAACUGUUUAUUAAAAACACAGCACUGUGCAAACACGAAAGUGGACGUAUACGGUGUGACGCCUGCCCGGUGCCGGAAGGUUAAUUGAUGGGGUCAGCGCAAGCGAAGCUCCUGAUCGAAGCCCCGGUAAACGGCGGCCGUAACUAUAACGGUCCUAAGGUAGCGAAAUUCCUUGUCGGGUAAGUUCCGACCUGCACGAAUGGCGUAAUGAUGGCCAGGCUGUCUCCACCCGAGACUCAGUGAAAUUGAACUCGCUGUGAAGAUGCAGUGUACCCGCGGCAAGACGGAAAGACCCCGUGAACCUUUACUAUAGCUUGACACUGAACAUUGAGCCUUGAUGUGUAGGAUAGGUGGGAGGCUUUGAAGUGUGGACGCCAGUCUGCAUGGAGCCGACCUUGAAAUACCACCCUUUAAUGUUUGAUGUUCUAACGUGGACCCGUAAUCCGGGUUGCGGACAGUGUCUGGUGGGUAGUUUGACUGGGGCGGUCUCCUCCUAAAGAGUAACGGAGGAGCACGAAGGUUGGCUAAUCCUGGUCGGACAUCAGGAGGUUAGUGCAAUGGCAUAAGCCAGCUUGACUGCGAGCGUGACGGCGCGAGCAGGUGCGAAAGCAGGUCAUAGUGAUCCGGUGGUUCUGAAUGGAAGGGCCAUCGCUCAACGGAUAAAAGGUACUCCGGGGAUAACAGGCUGAUACCGCCCAAGAGUUCAUAUCGACGGCGGUGUUUGGCACCUCGAUGUCGGCUCAUCACAUCCUGGGGCUGAAGUAGGUCCCAAGGGUAUGGCUGUUCGCCAUUUAAAGUGGUACGCGAGCUGGGUUUAGAACGUCGUGAGACAGUUCGGUCCCUAUCUGCCGUGGGCGCUGGAGAACUGAGGGGGGCUGCUCCUAGUACGAGAGGACCGGAGUGGACGCAUCACUGGUGUUCGGGUUGUCAUGCCAAUGGCACUGCCCGGUAGCUAAAUGCGGAAGAGAUAAGUGCUGAAAGCAUCUAAGCACGAAACUUGCCCCGAGAUGAGUUCUCCCUGAGACUUAG
rnacentral:rRNA from 1 species